rnacentral:tRNA from 3 species
GCCACCGUAGCUCAGUGGUAGAGCACUCCCUUGGUAAGGGAGAGGUCAAGGGUUCAAGUCCCUUUGGUGGCU